AUACGGAGGGAGCGAGCGUUAAUCGGAAUUACUGGGCGUAAAGCGCGCGUAGGCGGCUUUGUAAGUCGGAUGUGAAAGCCCAGGGCUCAACCCUGGAAUUGCAUUCGAUACUGCACGGCUAGAGUAUGGUAGAGGGAAGUGGAAUUUCCGGUGUAGCGGUGAAAUGCGUAGAUAUCGGAAGGAACACCAGUGGCGAAGGCGACUUCCUGGGCCAAUACUGACGCUGAGGUGCGAAAGCGUGGGGAGCAAACAGGAUUAGAAACCCGAGUAGUCC
rnacentral:rRNA from 1 species